rnacentral:rRNA from 1 species
ACUCAAAGGAAUUGACGGGGGCCCGCACAAGCGGUGGAUUAUGUGGUUUAAUUCGAAGCAACGCGCAGAACCUUACCUGGGCUUGAAGUCCCACGAACCCGGCCCAAAAGCUGGGGUGCACUUCGGUGAACGUGGUGAUAGGCGCUGCAUGGCUGUCGUCAGCUCGUGUCGUGAGAUGUUGGGUUAAGUCUCGCAACGAGCGCAACCCCUAUUUUUAGUUGCCAGCAUUAAGUUGGGCACUCUAGAGAGACUGCCUGGGUUAACCAGGAGGAAGGCGGGGAUGACGUCAAGUCCUCAUGGCCCUUAUGUCCAGGGCUACACACGUAAUACAAUGGUACAUACAGAGGGAAGCGAACCUGUGAGGGGGAGCUAAUCUCAAAAAGUGUAUCUCAGUCCGGAUUGAAGUCUGCAACUCGACUUCAUGAAGUUGGAAUCGCUAGUAAUCGCGGAUCAGCACGCCGCGGUGAAUACGUUCCCGGGCCUUGUACACACCGCCCGU